AACCUCCGCAAUGUGAGAAAUCGCGACGGGGGGAUCCCAAGUGCCAUUCUUAACGGGAUGGCUUUUCAUUAGUGUAAAGAGCUUUUGGAAUAAGGGCUGGGCAAGACCGGUGCCAGCCGCCGCGGUAACACCGGCAGCUCUAGUGGUAGCAGUUUUUAUUGGGCCUAAAGCGUCCGUAGCCGGUUUAAUAAGUCUCUGGUGAAAUCCUGUAGCUUAACUGUGGGAAUUGCUGGAGAUACUAUUAGACUUGAGACCGGGAGAGGUUAGAGGUACUCCCAGGGUAGAGGUGAAAUUCUGUAAUCCUGGGAGGACCGCCUGUUGCGAAGGCGUCUAACUGGAACGGUUCUGACGGUGAGGGACGAAAGUUAGGGGCGCGAACCGGAUUAGAUACCCGGGUAGUCCUAACCGUAAACGAUGCGACUUGGUGUUGGGUGGCUUUGAGCUGCUCCAGUGCCGAAGGGAAGCUGUUAAGUCCGCCGCCUGGGAAGUACGGUCGCAAGACUGAAAUUUAAAGGAAUU
rnacentral:rRNA from 1 species